rnacentral:rRNA from 1 species
AGAGUUUGAUCCUGGCUCAGGACGAACGCUGGCGGCGCGCCUAACACAUGCAAGUCGAACGAGCGAGAGAGAGCUUGCUUUCUCGAGCGAGUGGCGAACGGGUGAGUAACGCGUGAGGAACCUGCCUCAAAGAGGGGGACAACAGUUGGAAACGACUGCUAAUACCGCAUAAGCCCACGGGUCGGCAUCGACCAGAGGGAAAAGGAGCAAUCCGCUUUGAGAUGGCCUCGCGUCCGAUUAGCUAGUUGGUGAGGUAACGGCCCACCAAGGCGACGAUCGGUAGCCGGACUGAGAGGUUGAACGGCCACAUUGGGACUGAGACACGGCCCAGACUCCUACGGGAGGCAGCAGUGGGGAAUAUUGCACAAUGGGGGAAACCCUGAUGCAGCGACGCCGCGUGGAGGAAGAAGGUCUUCGGAUUGUAAACUCCUGUUGUUGAGGAAGAUAAUGACGGUACUCAACAAGGAAGUGACGGCUAACUACGUGCCAGCAGCCGCGGUAAAACGUAGGUCACAAGCGUUGUCCGGAAUUACUGGGUGUAAAGGGAGCGCAGGCGGGAAGACAAGUUGGAAGUGAAAUCCAUGGGCUUAACCCAUGAACUGCUUUCAAAACUGUUUUUCUUGAGUAGUGCAGAGGUAGGCGGAAUUCCCGGUGUAGCGGUGGAAUGCGUAGAUAUCGGGAGGAACACCAGUGGCGAAGGCGGCCUACUGGGCACCAACUGACGCUGAGGCUCGAAAGUGUGGGUAGCAAACAGGAUUAGAUACCCUGGUAGUCCACACCGUAAACGAUGAUUACUAGGUGUUGGAGGAUUGACCCCUUCAGUGCCGCAGUUAACACAAUAAGUAAUCCACCUGGGGAGUACGACCGCAAGGUUGAAACUCAAAGGAAUUGACGGGGGCCCGCACAAGCAGUGGAGUAUGUGGUUUAAUUCGAAGCAACGCGAAGAACCUUACCAAGUCUUGACAUCCCUCUGACCGGAACUUAACCGUUCCUUCCCUUCGGGGCAGAGGAGACAGGUGGUGCAUGGUUGUCGUCAGCUCGUGUCGUGAGAUGUUGGGUUAAGUCCCGCAACGAGCGCAACCCCUAUCCCCAGUAGCCAGCAUUUAAGGUGGGCACUCUGAGGAGACUGCCAGGGAUAACCUGGAGGAAGGCGGGGAUGACGUCAAAUCAUCAUGCCCCUUAUGAUUUGGGCUACACACGUGCUACAGUGGCGUAAACAAAGGGAAGCGAACCCGCGAGGGUGGGCAAAUCCCAAAAAUAACGUCCCAGUUCGGACUGUAGUCUGCAACCCGACUACACGAAGCUGGAAUCGCUAGUAAUCGCGGAUCAGAAUGCCGCGGUGAAUACGUUCCCGGGUCUUGUACACACCGCCCGUCACACCAUGGGAGUCAGUAACGCCCGAAGUCAGUGACCUAACCGUAAGGAGGGAGCUGCCGAAGGCGGGACCGAUGACUGGGGUGAAGUCGUAACAAGGUA